rnacentral:lncRNA from 1 species
CUGGCGCCCUAGCAACCGGGUUGCGAACCAUGUUCUAUCCCGACUAAGUGGCCGUCCUGGGAGUUAUAGUGCCACUAGCCGGCCUCGGCUGUUCCCUGUCCGAGGCUCUUGUCAUUUCCGCUUAUUUCCUCCACGGGUGCCGAUUUCAUGUGUGUGUUCCCGAGUGCCUGAGCCGGCUCCCGAAAUGAGUACUCGUGGUUUCCGCGUGGGAACCAACCUCGAGCGCCAGUGGCCCGCCCUCUCCGGGCUGAGGUGGCUGCUGAGGCUGGGGCUGCUCCUGAGGCUUCAGGGCCGCCCGCUGCACGGCUUUCUACCUUCCCAGGUUAGCCGCGGUCAACUUCUGCCAGGCGGAGCGAGAAAUCGCAUUUUGUCAGGGGCUGCAGCAUGCUGAAAGAAAACAGAAGCCUGUGGAGUGAGCCAAGAUCAACCAGGAAAUAAACCCUUUCCCUUGCGAUGUCUCUCCAGCGCCCUCUACUGACAAACCUGCUUUAGUGCCAGUUUGUAGAGAUUAGUUGUCCAGUUCAGACAAACCAGAUCCCCUGUCAGAUUCCUCCAUAGAACUUCUUUACAAAACCACUUCUUGGCAUCAUAAUUGGUGGCAUUUUCCCCUUCGGCUGUAUUUUUAUUCAACUCUUUUUCAUUCUGAACAGUAUUUGGAUUAUCAUUGGUGGUGGCGAUUUUUAACCAGAAGCUUUAUAGCUGUUUAUCUUUUUACGUAUGCAGUUCAUUACUUCUCUGCCAAACUUCAAAUCACAGAAAUUGCGAGCUCUAUUUUGUACUUUGGGUACAUGAUGAUCAUUGUGUUGAUUUUCUUCCUUUUCAUAGAGACAGUUGGAUUUUUUUCCUGUUUCUGGUUAAUUGCUAAAAUCUACAGUGUGCUGAAGGUGGAGUAAAGUAUUUCCCCAAAGGAUUCCAAGCACAUCUCCCUUGCCCUUGAAUAUCUGUAUAUCUAUAUGAACAUCAAUUGAGAUAUAUAUGUGUGUGCCCCUAAUUACAUAAUUUUAAGCAUAUAUAUAAAAAUGUAAAAUCUCA